rnacentral:rRNA from 1 species
AUUGAACGCUGGCGGCAGGCUUAACACAUGCAAGUCGAGCGGAUGAAAGUAGCUUGCUACCGGAUUCAGCGGCGGACGGGUGAGUAAUGCUUAGGAAUCUGCCUAUUAGUGGGGGACAACGUUCCGAAAGGAGCGCUAAUACCGCAUACGUCCUACGGGAGAAAGCAGGGGACCUUCGGGCCUUGCGCUAAUAGAUGAGCCUAAGUCGGAUUAGCUAGUUGGUAGGGUAAAGGCCUACCAAGGCGACGAUCUGUAGCGGGUCUGAGAGGAUGAUCCGCCACACUGGGACUGAGACACGGCCCAGACUCCUACGGGAGGCAGCAGUGGGGAAUAUUGGACAAUGGGGGGAACCCUGAUCCAGCCAUGCCGCGUGUGUGAAGAAGGCCUUUUGGUUGUAAAGCACUUUAAGCGAGGAGGAGGCUACCUAGAUUAAUACUUUAGGAUAGUGGACGUUACUCGCAGAAUAAGCACCGGCUAACUCUGUGCCAGCAGCCGCGGUAAUACAGAGGGUGCGAGCGUUAAUCGGAUUUACUGGGCGUAAAGCGUGCGUAGGCGGCCAAUUAAGUCAAAUGUGAAAUCCCCGAGCUUAACUUGGGAAUUGCAUUCGAUACUGGUUGGCUAGAGUAUGGGAGAGGAUGGUAGAAUUCCAGGUGUAGCGGUGAAAUGCGUAGAGAUCUGGAGGAAUACCGAUGGCGAACGCAGCCAUCUGGCCUAAUACUGACGCUGAGUACGAAAGCAUGGGGAGCAA